rnacentral:rRNA from 1 species
UACGUAGGGGCAAGCGUUGUCCGGAAUCAUUGGGCGUAAAGCGCGUGUAGGCGACCGGUAAGUCCGCUGUGAAAGUCCAGGGCUCAACCCUGGGAUGCCGGUGGAUACUGUCGGGCUCGAGUCCGGAAGAGGCGAGUGGAAUCCUGGUGUAGCGGUGAAAUGCGCAGAUAUCAGGAGGAACACCGAUGGCGAAGGCAGCUCGCUGGACGUGACUGACGCUGAGACGCGAAGCGUGGGAGCAAACAGG